GCUUGCGCGGCAUUCCCCCCGGAGGUCAUUCAAACACUGCAUUCUUACGUCGGAGUAAAAAGUUAAUUUAAUAAAACUUUCAACAACGGAUCUCUUGGUUCUGGCAUCGAUGAAGAACGCAGCGAAAUGCGAUAAGUAAUGUGAAUUGCAGAAUUCAGUGAAUCAUCGAAUCUUUGAACGCACAUUGCGCCCCCUGGUAUUCCGGGGGGCAUGCCUGUUCGAGCGUCAUUUCACCACUCAAGCCUCGCUUGGUAUUGGGCGUCGCGAGUCUCUCGCGCGCCUCAAAGUCUCCGGCUGAGCGGUUCGUCUCCCAGCGUUGUGGCAACUAUUCGCAGAGGAGUUCGAGUCGUCGCGGCCGUUAAAUCUUUCAAAGGUUGACCUCGGAUCAGGUAGGGAUACCCGCUGAACUUAAGCAUAUCAAUAAGCGGAGGAAAAGAAACCAACAGGGAUUGCCCUAGUAACGGCGAGUGAAGCGGCAACAGCUCAAAUUUGAAAUCUGGCGCAAGCCCGAGUUGUAAUUUGUAGAGGAUGCUUCUAGGUAGCGACCGGUCUAAG
rnacentral:rRNA from 1 species